rnacentral:lncRNA from 1 species
CCUGUCUCCACAAAGAGAGCAAGGGCCCAGGUGUGUCUGAAUAACAGCUGUGCUGGUGCCUACUGGAGGACAGAAACAUGGCAAAGAGUAAGGGGAAGUGAUGAUAUAGAAUGUGUAAGGUGGGAAUUCAGGAAACAAUGACAGCAAAAGUGAUUUGAGAAACAAAGCCAAAGGAAAAGGUGAGUAAAAAGAAAAGAAGGAAGUCCCAUCUUCUACAGGGCAAAUACCCUGGUUAUUUAGCACGGUGCAUAAGGCCCUCUUGGUCUGCAUUUGCUGCCUGCUGCCUCUAGUGUUGCUGCAUCAUCCCCUUAGUACAAGACAAUCUGUAGUUCCCCAAAUGGACGAUGGGAGGCAGGGUUUAAUCUGGCCCCAGUGAUCUCCACUUCCCAGUAGCCACAUCACUGUAGAAUCCCCUCUCCUGAGUGUGGGCUGGCCCAGCAACUUGCUUCUAACUGUCGGAGAAUGACAAGUGAUGGGAUGUCACUUCCCGUAAUUAACUGACGGGAGACUGUAGCUUCUGUCUUGCUAGUGGAUGCUGUCUGUUGCCUUCCUGGUUUGUGUGCUUUGAUGAAGCAAGUGGCUGUGUUGCAGAGGUCCACUUGGCAAGGGGAUGAAAGUGGCCUUUGGCCAACAGCCAGCAAGGAGCUAAGGCCCUUUAUCCAACAACCCUUGAAGAACUGAAAUCUUCUAACAACCACAUGAGCUUGGAAAUGGAUCCCCGCCUUGACCCUUCAGAUGCGACCCCAGCCCUGGCCAGCGCCUCGAUUGCCACCUUGUGAGAGAUCCUGAAGGAUGGAUCCAGCUAAGCCAUGACCAGGUGGCUGCCCCAA